CCAGAUCCCAGCCUAUGCAAUGCAAAAGGAAGAUUUCCAAUUGAACAUUUCGAGAACAUCUGACUCCAGAGGAAAUAGCAAAAACAGGAAGAAGUAAAUUGAGAAGACAUUUAAUGAACCCCAAUAAUCUGCCCAAAGUAGAAGAGUUGAGAACUGGACAUGCAGGAGGCCACAGGAAGCUAAAGGCAGUCUGCCGGUGCAGUACACAAAAAAAAGGAAUAAAGGAAAGUGGGGAAAUCGGCCAGCCUUGUCAAGUAUUCU